rnacentral:rRNA from 1 species
CAGUAGCCGCGGUAACACGUAGGGUGCAAGCGUUAAUCGGAAUUACUGGGCGUAAAGCGUGCGCAGGCGGUGUUGUAAGACUGAUGUGAAAUCCCCGGGCUCAACCUGGGAACUGCAUUGGUGACUGCAACGCUGGAGUGCGGCAGAGGGGGAUGGAAUUCCGCGUGUAGCAGUGAAAUGCGUAGAUAUGCGGAGGAACACCGAUGGCGAAGGCAAUCCCCUGGGCCUGUACUGACGCUCAUGCACGAAAGCGUGGGGAGCAAACAGGAUUAGAUACCCCCGUAGUCCCUGUCUCUUAUAC